rnacentral:snRNA from 1 species
GCUGGCUUAGGCAGCAGACAUACUAAAACUGAGACGAUUUAGAGAAGCUUAGCAUGGGCCCUGCCCCAGGGUGAAGCAUUCCAUAGUUUUAAAAGUUUAC